CAAACCGACACAGGUAGUCAAGAUGAGAAUUCUAAGGUGAGCGAGCGAACUCUCGUUAAGGAACUCGGCAAAAUGACCCCGUAACUUCGGGAGAAGGGGUGCUCUUUAGGGUUAACGCCCAGAAGAGCCGCAGUGAAUAGGCCCAAGCGACUGUUUAUCAAAAACACAGGUCUCUGCUAAACCGUAAGGUGAUGUAUAGGGGCUGACGCCUGCCCGGUGCUGGAAGGUUAAGAGGAGUGGUUAGCUUCUGCGAAGCUACGAAUCGAAGCCCCAGUAAACGGCGGCCGUAACUAUAACGGUCCUAAGGUAGCGAAAUUCCUUGUCGGGUAAGUUCCGACCCGCACGAAAGGCGUAACGAUUUGGGCACUGUCUCAACGAGAGACUCGGUGAAAUCAUAGUACCUGUGAAGAUGCAGGUUACCCGCGACAGGACGGAAAGACCCCGUGGAGCUUUACUGUAGCCUGAUAUUGAAAUUCGGCACAGCUUGUACAGGAUAGGUAGGAGCCUUUGAAACGUGAGCGCUAGCUUACGUGGAGGCGCUGGUGGGAUACUACCCUA
rnacentral:rRNA from 1 species